rnacentral:rRNA from 1 species
GAUGAACGCUGGCGGCGUGCUUAACACAUGCAAGUCGAACGGAAAGGCUCCUGCUUGCAGGGGUUCUCGAGUGGCGAACGGGUGAGUAACACGUGGGUGAUCUGCCCUGCACUUCGGGAUAAGCGUGGGAAACUGGGUCUAAUACCGGAGAGGACGAUGGGUUGGAUGCCAUUGUGGAAAGUUUUUUCGGUGUGGGAUGAGCUCGGGGCCUAUCAGCUUGUUGGUGGGGUAAUGGCCUACCAAGGCGUCGACGGGUAGCCGGCGUGAGAGGGUGGACGGCCACAUUGGGACUGCGGUACGGCCCAGACUCCUACGGGAGGCAGCAGUGGGGAAUAUUGCACAAUGGGCGCAAGCCUGAUGCAGAGACGCCGCGUGGGGGAUGACGGCCUUCGGGUUGUAAACUCCUUUCGCUAGGGACGAAGCGCAAGUGACGGUACCUGGAGAAGAAGCACCGGCUAACUACGUG